AUUGAACGCUGGCGGCAGGCCUAACACAUGCAAGUCGAGCGGAUGAAGGGAGCUUGCUCCUGGAUUCAGCGGCGGACGGGUGAGUAAUGCCUAGGAAUCUGCCUGGUAGUGGGGGAUAACGUCCGGAAACGGGCGCUAAUACCGCAUACGUCCUGAGGGAGAAAGUGGGGGAUCUUCGGACCUCACGCUAUCAGAUGAGCCUAGGUCGGAUUAGCUAGUUGGUGGGGUAAAGGCCUACCAAGGCGACGAUCCGUAACUGGUCUGAGAGGAUGAUCAGUCACACUGGAACUGAGACACGCUCCAGACUCCUACGGGAGGCAGCAGUGGGGAAUAUUGGACAAUGGGCGAAAGCUUGAUCCAGCCAUGCCGCGUGUGUGAAGAAGGUCUUCGGAUUGUAAAGCACUUUAAGUUGGGAGGAAGGGCAGUAAGUUAAUACCUUGCUGUUUUGACGUUACCAACAGAAUAAGCACCGGCUAACUUCGUG
rnacentral:rRNA from 1 species